UGGGAUUAAAGGCAUGUGCCACACACU
rnacentral:piRNA from 1 species